CGUACGGGAGGCAGCAAUAGGUAAUAAAGGCCAAAGGGCGAAAUUCUGAACCAGCCAUGCCGCGUGCAGGAUGAAGGCCCUAAGGGUGUAAACUGUUUUUGUACGGGAACAAAAAGUCUCUUGCGAGAGCCAUUGACUGUGCCGUAACAAUAAGAACAGGCUAACUCCUAGACAGCGGCCGCGGUAAU
rnacentral:rRNA from 1 species